UUUGGUAGAGACUGUUGAAGCCACCUGGUCCCAGCAGACCCCAGAAGGCGACCACAUUUGCUGGCUCUGGGGCAAGGUUGUUAAGGGUGAAGCCUGUUGCCAGAC
ensembl:rRNA 5S_rRNA 5S ribosomal RNA